CUCCCUCUGCUAAAUGAAACUCGGAAACAUAAUUUUUCAUAUUUUCAUCUCUUUUCCCUCCCCUCCCCUCCCCUGUUAAAUGAGUCUCGAAUGAGUCUCGGGAAGAGAGCGUAAGAGAAAGAAAGAGAAUACCAUAGCGAGGGGUGGAGAUAUUGCGGCAGCGUUUAGCAAGAGAAGAAGAUUUGUUGUUUUUUCAGCUGAAUCCGGUAGCUGUGAUGAUGUUUUGUCGUCUCCAUGAGAGAGGGGCGGAGGACGACCGAUCAUUUCUCCGCACAGAGUUUCUCCCGCCAUGGCAACCAUACCGAUUCUACAAAUCAGGGAGGAAAAGGGAGUUUGGUGCAACAUUGUUCAACUUUAGUGCAACUUUUGGUCAUGGAUGCCAAGAAAGUGGCAACACGAUGAAGAUCGGCGACCUAGAGUUCUGUCGAGUGCACCUGAUAAGUGAUAACCAUACGAACCUACAUGUUCCAAAAUCAAGUUGGUCGGUGCCAUUUAAGCCAAGGGUACUAUUAAGGCUUAAACUCUUGACCUCUAGGGAAGCAACACCAUAACUCUAAUGGCUUUGCCAAGGAUCUAUGUUUCAUACUUUCAGAGAUUAGGGACAUAAAUUGUCUAAUAUUAUGAUCUGAAGGUGAUAUCAAAGUACUCGGCAUAUGCAGUGGUUGGAGGAACGACAUUGUGGUUGCCGGUCAACAUGUUGAAACAAGAUUUGAGUGAAAUUCGGCGGAAGCUGAUUUUGACGAAUUUGAGUAUGACAGUACACGAAAACGGAUCCCACGGCAUGAGAUUAUGGCGAGAAAGUCGGCGAGCACGAGACGCCUUUUGUCCUUAAUAGAGGUGCCAUGAAAUUCAUCGUCAACCCGGGUCUUCAACAACACUGCCAAAACAACAAAUACCAUCGGCACACCACCUGUCAAAUCCACCUCAGCUACAACUCAAGCAACUCCAAUUCCCAACACACCAGCUGCAACUGAAGAUGAACACGCAUCCGCGAAACAACAACUUUUCCAAACACCAGGCGUUUGACAGAAAAAAUGAGGUGUUCCUACUAGCAUGUUGGAGGCUAUGACGGCGCAGAAACUAUUUUGGUACAUCACUACUUAGUGACUUGCUAAGUUUGCGGUGUUGCUUUAUAGAUAAUCAAAAUGGUAUGAUACUCCUUUCCGAAGGCUGGUCGAGUUAUUGGUGGGUUGUUUCAAGAUCCAAGUGGAAGAAUAUAUCAUGGGAUAGCAGGUCGAAAGGAGUUGAAGACAAGAUUUCUAUGUGGGUUCUCAUAGUGGUUAGGUUAUGCUCUACUUUGAUGUAUUGUAGUUUAAUUGGUUUUUUGGUGUUGUUGCUGACCUGCUGCGACUAUCUUGGUACAUCACUACUUAGUGACUUGCUAAGUUUGCGGUGUUGCUUUUAGGAUAAUAAGAUAUCCUAAAAAA